GGUACAGGCAGUUAUAGGGUGAGGGGUCCUGUAAUAGAGCAGUGAUAGGUACAGGGCAGUUAUAGGGUGAGGGGUCCUGUAAUAGAGCAGUGAUAGGUACAGGCAGUUAUAGAGUGAGGGGUCCUGUAAUAGAGCAGUGAUAGCUACAGGCAGUUAUAGGGUAUAAUAGAGCAGUGAUAGGCACAGGGCAGUUAUUGGGUGAGGGGUCCUGUAAUAGAGCAGUGAUAGAUACAGGGCAGUUAUAGGGUGAGGGGUCCUGUA